CGGCGAGCGAAAAGGGAUGAGCCCAGCGCCGAAUCCCCGGCCURCCGGUCGCGGGACAUGUGGCGUUUGGGAGUGAGCGUGUCGGGCUCGGAGGCGGCGGCAAGUCCCCCUGACCGGGGCCUGUCCGUAGCGGGUGCGAGGCCCAUAGCCGCCGCGUCCGUCCCGAAUGCGAUCUCCUUGGAGUCGGGUUGCUUGGGAGUGCAGCCCCAAUCGGGUGGUAAACUCCACCUAAGGCUAAAUACCGCCGUGAGACCGAUAGCAAACAAGUACCGUGAGGGAAAGUUGCAAAGAACUUUGAAGAGAGAGUUCAAGAGUACGUGAAACUGCUCAGAGGUAAACGGGUGGGCCCUCGAAAUCCUGUGGCGAGAGGAUUCAGUCUGAGUCGGUCGGACGUCGGGAGGGAAGCGUCCGGGCAGGGCGUCCGCCGAGGGCGGGCCGUCCCCCCCUUCGUCUUCCGCCGACGCAGACGCAUUUGUCUCUCGUCCCGAGGACGCUGCAGCCGGUCUGGGAGUGCAAGCGCGACGGCCUGAAGGUCGGGAAAUGGCAGGUGGCCGGCGGUCCCUCCUCGUGGGGAGCUGUCGGUCGUUAGCCGUCCCGUCGGUGGCUCGUCUCCAGACCGUGGUGUCGAGAGUCCCUUCCCGGGACUCGUCGCCUCCCCCUUGAGGCGCGGACGGGGCCCGGCCGGGGUCUCUGGCGUCGACCGUCGCACUCCCUCGGAGUGGGCGGACGAGCCCGAGUCCCCAACCGCCGGGACGGGUCCGUAGGGGGCUGGAGGCUGGCAGCGAGUAGGUCGGUCACCCACCCGACCCGUCUUGAAACACGGACCAAGGAGUCUAACAUGUGCGCGAGUCGGCGGGUCUUGCUCAGGCCCGCAGGCGCAAUGAAAGCGAAGGGCGGCCUGGCCGCCUCAGUGGGGAUCCCUCCUCCUAAUCGGGGGGGGCGCACCCACGACCCGUCCCGUCCCGGCUCGCCGGUGGGGCGGAGUCUGAGCGUACACGUUGGGACCCGAAAGAUGGUGAACUAUGCCCGGACAGGACGAGGCCAGAGGAAACUCUGGUGGAGGUCCGCAGC
rnacentral:rRNA from 1 species